GGUUAUGCUGGAAAGAGCGCAGGGUGGAUGCCUUGGCACUAAGAGCCGAUGAAAGACGUGAUAAGCUGCGAAAAGCUUCGGGGAGGAGCAAAUAUCCAAAGAUCCGGAGAUUUCUGAAUGGGGAAACCCACAUGAGAAGACCUCAUGUAUCCAUACGCCAAUCCAUAACGUAUGGAGGGGAACCCGGUGAACUGAAACAUCUAAGUAGCCGGAGGAGAAGAAAGAAACAUCGAUUUCCAAAGUAGCGGCGAGCGAAAUGGGAAGAGCCCAAACCAGUGUGCGAGCACACUGGGGUUCGGACUGCACAAGCGACUCCUGAGAGUAAUGGAACGGUUUUGGGAAAGCCGGCCAGAGAGGGUGAAAGCCCCGUACAUGAAAGUCAAGGGAGAGCGGCAGGAUCCAGAGUACCACGAGACACGUGGAACCUUGUGGGAAGGAGCGGGGACCACCCCGUAAGGCUAAAUACUCCUUAGUGACCGAUAGCGCAUAGUACUGUGAAGGAAAGGUGAAAAGGACCCCGGGAGGGGAGUGAAAG
rnacentral:rRNA from 1 species